CGUUGUUUUAUAAACGUCUUGGCUAAUUUUCACGUAAAUAACUCACGUUCCGCUGUGCCGCAGCGGUGUCGCAGUCAGUGUAGGCAACCGUAUACGAAUUUACAUUGCGUCCGUGAGUGUAUUAUUUACUCGGUAUUUAUUUAAAUGUAAACGAAAAGGUUAAAAACAAGGCGCCCCAGUAUGAUGGGGACGGGUGCAGCCACUGUUAUUAGGUAAUUUAACGUAUAUCUGUUAG